rnacentral:rRNA from 1 species
UACGUAGGGUGCAAGCGUUGCCCGGAUUUAUUGGGCGUAAAGGGCGCGCAGGCGGCUACGCACGUCCGUUGUGAAAUCGCUCGGCUCAACUGGGCGGGGUCGGCGGAUACGGCGUAGCUGGAGCAAGCUAGGGGGCAAUGGAAUUCCCGGUGUAGUGGUGGAAUGCGUAGAUAUCAGGAAGAACACCAAUGGCGAAAGCAGCUCUCUGGGACGGUACUGACGCUGAGACGCGAAAGCGUGGGGAGCGAACAGG